rnacentral:rRNA from 1 species
AUGAACGCUGGCGGCGUGCUUAACACAUGCAAGUCGAACGCAGCAUUUGCGACAGAUUUUUUCGGAAUGAAGUUGCUUAUGACUGAGUGGCGGACGGGUGAGUACGCGUGGGUAACCUGCCUUGUACUGGGGGAUAGCAGCUGGAAACGGCUGGUAAUACCGCAUAAGCGCACAAUGUUGCAUGACAUGGUGUGAAAAACUCCGGUGGUAUAAGAUGGACCCGCGUCUGAUUAGCUAGUUGGUGAGAUAACAGCCCACCAAGGCGACGAUCAGUAGCCGACCUGAGAGGGUGACCGGCCACAUUGGGACUGAGACACGGCCCAGACUCCUACGGGAGGCAGCAGUGGGGAAUAUUGCACAAUGGAGGAAACUCUGAUGCAGCGACGCCGCGUGAGUGAAGAAGUAAUUCGUUAUGUAAAGCUCUAUCAGCAGGGAAGAUAGUGACGGUACCUGACGAAGAAGCUCCGGCUAAAUACGUG